AUUGAACGCUGGCGGCAUGCCUUACACAUGCAAGUCGAACGGCAGCACGGGGGCAACCCUGGUGGCGAGUGGCGAACGGGUGAGUAACACAUCGGAACGUGUCCUGUUGGUGGGGGAUAACCAGUACGAAAGACUGGCUAAUACCGCAUGAGCUGGAGACAGGAAAGGCGGGGGACCUGAAAGGCCUCGUGCGAUUGGAGCGGCCGAU
rnacentral:rRNA from 1 species